rnacentral:rRNA from 1 species
AUAUACGACCGUACCGCAAACCGACACUGGUGCGCGAGAUGAGUAUUCUAAGGCGCUUGAGAGAACUCAGGAGAAGGAACUCGGCAAAUUGACACCGUAACUUCGGAAGAAGGUGUGCCCUAUUAGUGUGUAGAGAACAACGAAGCAUGAAUGGGUUGCAAAAAAUCGGUGGCUGCGACUGUUUAUUAAAAACACAGCACUCUGCAAACACGAAAGUGGACGUAUAGGGUGUGACGCCUGCCCGGUGCUGGAAGAUUAAAUGAUGGGGUGCAAGCUCUUGAUUGAAGUCCCAGUAAACGGCGGCCGUAACUAUAACGGUCCUAAGGUAGCGAAAUUCCUUGUCGGGUAAGUUCCGACCUGCACGAAUGGCGUAACGAUGGCCACACUGUCUCCUCCUGAGACUCAGCGAAGUUGAAAUGUUUGUGAUGAUGCAAUCUCCCCGCGGAAAGACGGAAAGACCCCAUGAACCUUUACUGUAGCUUUGUAUUGGACUUUGAACAGAUCUGUGUAGGAUAGGUGGGAGGCUUUGAAGCAGGGUCGCUAGAUCUUGUGGAGCCAACGUUGAAAUACCACCCUGGUGUGUUUGAGGUUCUAACCUAGGUCCAUUAUCUGGAUCGGGGACAGUGCAUGGUAGGCAGUUUGACUGGGGCGGUCUCCUCCCAAAGCGUAACGGAGGAGUUCGAAGGUACGCUAGUUACGGUCGGACAUCGUGACGAUAGUGCAAUGGCAUAAGCGUGCUUAACUGCGAGACUGACAAGUCGAGCAGAUGCGAAAGCAGGACAUAGUGAUCCCGUGGUUCUGUAUGGAAGGGCCAUCGCUCAACGGAUAAAAGGUACUCUGGGGAUAACAGGCUGAUACCGCCCAAGAGUUCAUAUCGACGGCGGUGUUUGGCACCUCGAUGUCGGCUCAUCUCAUCCUGGGGCUGUAGCCGGUCCCAAGGGUAUGGCUGUUCGCCAUUUAAAGAGGUACGUGAGCUGGGUUUAGAACGUCGUGAGACAGUUUGGUCCCUAUCUUCCGUGGGCGCUGCAGAUUUGAGGAAGCCUGCUCCUAGUACGAGAGGACCGGAGUGGACACACCUCUGGUGUAUCGGUUGUCACGCUAGUGGCAUUGCCGAGUAGCUAAGUGUGGAAGAGAUAACCGCUGAAAGCAUCUAAGCGGGAAACUCGUUUCAAGAUGAGAUCUGCCGGGGCCUUGAGCCCCCUAAAGAGUCGUUCAAGACCAGGACGUUGAUAGGUCAGGUGUGGAAGCG